rnacentral:rRNA from 1 species
AUGCAAAUUUACUUACAGAGGUGGCACGACGACGGUGGCAUGCAGCCACAGGUCGCUCUUCCUCCUCGCCGUGAUCCCGAACGCCUCCGCCAUGUCCAGCUCCUCCGUCCCCCCGGGGAGCUCCCAGUCGAAAUGGAAGAGGAGGCUCGCCAGCGCGACCUCCAUGACGGCGAGCCCGAACGUGAUCCCGGGGCACAUCCUCCGCCCCGCCCCGAACGGCACAAGCUGGAAGUCCGUCCCUCUGAAGUCCACCGCCGCCGCGGAUUCCUCCUCGAACCUCUCCGGCCGGAACUCCUCGGCGUCCGGCCCCCAGCUCGCCGCGUCCCGGCCGAUGGCCCACGCGUUGACCAGCACCAUGGUGCCCUGGGGCACGUCGUACCCGAGGACGCGACUGGGCUCGCGGCACUCCCGCGGGAGGAGCAGCGGCACUGCCGCGUGCAGCCGGAGCGUCUCCUUGAUCACCAGCCGCAGGUACGGCAGCUCCUGCAAGGCCUCCUCCCGGGCGCGGCUCUGCCCGGCGAGCGCGCUGCGCACCUCCGCCUGCGCCCUCCGGAGCGCCGCCGGUUUCCGCACCAGCUCCGCCAUGGCCCACUGCAACGUCGACGCCGAGGUCUCGCUCCCGGCCCCGAAGAGGUCCCUCAUCAUAGCACGGACCGUCCCGAUGUCGAGAGGCGCGCCGCCGCCGCCGCCGUCCAGAAGCACGUCCAAGAUGUCCUCCUCUUCCUCGCAGCCGGCGCCGGCCGCCUUCCUCGCGCGUUUCUCCUCGAUGACGCCGUCCAUGAGCCGGGACAUCUCCCGGACCGUCGCCUCCACUUGGCGCGCCGUCCCGCUGAGCGCGCGCGCGAGGCGCGACGACGGAAACAGGUCGGCGAGACUGAACCCAGCGGCCACCCUGACACCCUCGCAAAGGCACGCCAGGAAGGCUUCGCGGUCCGCGAUCCGGUCGCCAACCAUGGAGCGCACUACGGCGUCGGCGACAUACGUGGCGACGAGGGAGCUGACGUUCACAGCGGCUCCGGACGCCGCCUCCACGGCCACGGACGCAACGAGGGCGGCCGCCUCGGCCUCACGCGUCCCUCGGAACGACCGAACCCGCGGCGCGCCGAGAAGCUCCGUGGCGCAGAGCUUGCGGACACGGCGCCAGUGGUCGCCGUGCGGCGCGAGGGCGAUGCCGAGGCCGUCUCCAGUGAGCGAAACAGUGGUGUUCGUCCUCGGCCGCGUGGCGAAGGCGACGUCGUGGGUCUUCAUGAUCUCCAUCGCCGCGGCCGCCGACGAGGCCACAACGACGGGGAGCUCGCCCAUGCGGAGCAGCAUGAGCGGGCCGUGCCGGAGGGCGAGGUUGCGCAUGGCGCGGUGCGGGAGCGCGCCCACGAGGUGGUGCAUGCUGCCGAUCACCGGCAGCUGCCAUGGCCCCGGAGGCAGGUUCAGCGUCACGCCACCAUACUGCUUGCUGCGUCGCCUGAGCUUGACGACGAGGAGAAGAGUGAGAAGCAGGAUGGCACCGGCCAAAAGCAGGCCAUGGUUCUCGUGGUUCCCCGCCAUGGCUAUGGCUUGGAACCAAUCGGCAAUCGGUCGUAG